AAAUAGAUACCCUGGUAGUCCACGCCGUAAACGAUGAGUGCUAAGUGUUAGGGGGUUUCCGCCCCUUAGUGCUGCAGCUAACGCAUUAAGCACUCCGCCUGGGGAGUACGGUCGCAAGACUGAAACUCAAAGGAAUUGACGGGGGCCCGCACAAGCGGUGGAGCAUGUGGUUUAAUUCGAAGCAACGCGAAGAACCUUACCAGGUCUUGACAUCCCGCUGACCGCUAUGGAGACAUAGCUUUCCCUUCGGGGACAGCGGUGACAGGUGGUGCAUGGUUGUCGUCAGCUCGUGUCGUGAGAUGUUGGGUUAAGUCCCGCAACGAGCGCAACCCUUGUCCUUAGUUGCCAUCAUUCAGUUGGGCACUCUAAGGAGACUGCCGUACAAAUACGGAGGAAGGUGGGGAUGACGUCAAAUCAUCAUGCCCCUUAUGACCUGGGCUACACACGUGCUACAAUGGACGGUACAAACGGUUGCGAAGUCGCGAGACGGAGCCAAUCCGAGAAAGCCGUUACUCAGUUCGGAUUGCAGGCUG
rnacentral:rRNA from 1 species